AACGAAAUUUCGGUUCAGUUUUCAUUGAUUUAAUAUUAUCCCUAAAUUUACCUUUUGAAGAUAUUUGUGUAAGAUAAUACAUAAUUAAGGAGGUGACUGUAAUUAUCCAAACAAUAGGAGAAUUUUCAUAAUUUAACAAUAAUUCAGGGGUGACCGUAAUUUACCCUAUUUAUCAUAGUAGAAAGAGAGAAGCAAAGAAUUGUCCCAUAAAUGAUAACAGUAAUAAUUAUACAGGGUACAAGUACAUCACAUCAAUCUCUGUAUAAAUAGAAGAAUAAAUAUCCGUAGCUCCGACAAACAAAAUCCCAGUAUAUAUAUAUAUAUAUAUAUAUAUAUAUAUAUAUAUAUAUAUAUAUAUAUAUAUAUAUGACAUGUGCGUAAAAAUAAUCAAUUAAAAUGCGCGUGGCAAGAAUCUGAAAUGAAACCCCACGCAGCGGCGGCCGGCGCCGCCGUAUAUAUAUGCGCUUAUAUUAUAUAUAUAUAGUGAUCAGUUCUUGUUGACGAGAGCCAAGAGAGAUAGCAGCAGCGAAGAAGCCACGAGCGCCGCAGAGACCGGCAGAGAGAACCCGGCACCGGCGUCAGGCGCCGGCGCCGGAGUAAGGCCGGAUCCACCUUGAGCAGCUGAAAGAGUAGUUCCGGCCAUGAUCACGGCCACAAACAUCAACACCACCAAAGCCAUCGAACUUGCCAUUUCUUCUUCACUAAGUAGUAAAAAUACAGAAUCUUUAAUUAAUUAUUUUCGAUAUAUAUGAUCGGAAGGUGUUUGCUCAAUUGCCUGAGAGACUGUGAAUUGUAUGUGUGUAUAUAUAUAUACACACGCACACAUAUGGGGGCUGUUUG
rnacentral:lncRNA from 1 species